rnacentral:rRNA from 1 species
AAGACAAUAAGUUUUGGGGAACCAACACAACCCUCUAGGGGUGGCUUAUCUCAUUAUAUAUAAUGGUUGUGUUACAAUACGUACAUAAGUACAGAAGCUAUACAUAGUCUAACAUGCUGAAACAUAUCGGUCCAGAGGAACUCGAUCCACUUGGCUAAUCUCUUGCAUUAUAAUCCCUAUUUGCUCGGCCUCUGUCCACCAAAUUCUAAGUGAGGAGUGAUCAUGCAUUGAACUAGGGGUCCCAAUAUUCCACAUCCUCAUGAUCGUGGGGGAAAAUCUACCCGACAAGCGAAGUAGACUAGGCCUCCGAUCAUCACCGUGAUGGUACCGGUCUCCGUAUUGCUGGGGUCGAUAUGGGGCAUCCCUCGAAGGGCUCAUUUGACCAUGAGAAUGAUUGUCAUGCUGACGAGUAGGUGAUAUCCCACCGUGGUACCGUUCACCUUGCUGUAAAGGCUGUUCUGGUCGCCGAGUGAAUGCUGCAUCUCCCAGGGUGAGGCGAUUCCCUGCGCCGACGAGGCACAAGGGGGCUAUGAGCCGACCGAGUCAUGUUAGCCCAGACCGACUUGCUGUGUACAUGAUUGUGAGACUGGGACACGGCAGAAUUUUGCGCCAUGGACGCCUUCAAGAGUGCUUGGAUUUGCUCGAGCCCUUCUGCUGCCGAUCCCAACUGUUGAAUGGAAUCCACGAUUCGCGUUUCUGUGCCAAGUUUUGCACCAGAGUCCACAAUACUUGUUAGUUUUGGGCAUCGUUAUACGGGAACAACUACCUCUUGUGCUGACUGGAACUAGGAAGAUCAUGGGGACGGCCUUUGAGAGCUUUAUCCCACUGCUGCAAGUGCGCCUGCUCAACCAAGGUGGCCAAACACGCCGACUCCAAGACGAGUGCUUUGGGGGUGGUCACCGUAAUGGCGUGCGUUGGGUUUGCUUGGUCACCCCGUUGAGUUCAUCAAGCUGCUCCUGAGUGGGAGGUGCUGCUUUCCCAUCGACCCGGGGGCCACCGUCGGUUAUGUCGUCGGCUGCUUCAUUAGUUUUGUGACCAUGACCAUCUUGUUGCUCGGGGUAGCCAGGUGGGCCGUUGUCGGGACCCGCCAUCAAAACCUCCACCGAGGAGUCCAUGCUCUCACAACUUUCUUCUUCCUCCCUUCAUGAAGGGAGGCGAACAUGUCAUGGAACGAUUCCGUAGGCUCCAGGACAGACACCUUCUCGGGCGCAACCUGAAGAGAGACUGCAUGUUUGAUCCACAACUGAACUCAUGAUCGGCAGAAGCGCUUGCGAUGACACCCGACGGGGUGAGGUGGGCCUGUCUAGUAUGGAGCAGACGGCCGUUGGAGAAGGAUUUUAUGGAAGCUGGCGUGGAUGUGUGUUGCGCCAUCGAUGGGCAACGAAUCCAUGUGAAGCAGGGCUUCCUAAAGCCAUGCCGAAUCAUCGGCCAUGAAGCGGAGGGCACCAAAAUAGAUCUCGCUGCCAAGCACCAUCUCGACAUCGCGAGAAAUGGAAGAUGGAGAAUCCACCUGCGCCAUGUACUGCAAGAUGCACAAGCCCAAGGUGAGCACCAACUGUCGUCGGAAUGAUUCUGAC